GCUAAAAGCAUGAGUUGGUGCUUGAUGUGUGUUUAUAUAUGUUAAGAGUUGUUUUUUUGUAAACCUUGGGAUGACAUUUAUUGUGGUCUUUGAUCUUGCACCAGGCCUAGACCAUAAAACAUCUAGAUAGCCAUCACCAGAGCUGGACACAAGGAAUUUCAUAGAGUGGGCAAUAGACUGCCAGACCAGCCCCCUCUGAUCCCCCCCAGGGGUCUGCCCACUGAGAAACAACUAGUUUAGAUAUAUGAGGGUGUUGGACUAUCCAGGGAAGUCAGUUAUUCAUUUUUCUUUUGUCAGUAACUUCUAGGAGACCUAUACCAUCUAAGACUCCCACAAGAAUUCUAUAUGGGGUAAAUAUAUGUAAGGAAUUUCUUGUGUUUUCUCCUAUUUUAUUUUAUGUACUGUUUUGCAAUUUGUUUUCUG